rnacentral:rRNA from 1 species
UACGUAGGGUGCAAGCGUUAAUCGGAAUUACUGGGCGUAAAGCGUGCGCAGGCGGUUUCUUAAGUCAGAUGUGAAAGCCCCGGGCUUAACCUGGGAAUGGCAUUUGGGACUGCAAGGCUUGAGUGCGGCAGAGGAGACUGGAAUUCCUGGUGUAGCAGUGAAAUGCGUAGAUAUCAGGAGGAAUACCGAUGGCGAAGGCAGGUCUCUGGGCUGACACUGACGCUCAUGCACGAAAGCGUGGGGAGCAAACAGG